rnacentral:lncRNA from 1 species
CAUGAGAAAUCUCCUCGAUAUGAGAAGAAAAACUACGGAUUCGUAGAACACUCAAAAAUCCACUAUAACCACAUUCUUCAUGUUCAACAUGAGAACAAAUCCAGAGACUCUAGCUAUAAAGAGAUAUCUCCACAACAACAACAAGAGAGUAAUAAAAGAGAUCUAAAACGAGCAAUAACAAAGCGACCUUAGCUCACAAGAAUUCCGGAAACAAGAACUAAUCCCAAUGUACAAUCCAAGAUGAACAAGUACUUCUGCCAAAUCUCAGCUCAAAC